GUAGUCAUAUGCUUGUCUCAAAGAUUAAGCCAUGCAUGUCUAAGUAUAAGCAAUUAUACCGCGAAACUGCGAAUGGCUCAUUAUAUAAGUUAUAGUUUAUUUGAUAGCACCUUACUACAUGGAUAACUGUGGUAAUUCUAGAGCUAAAACAUGCUAAAAAUCCCGACUUCGGAAGGGAUGUGUUUAUUAGAUUAAAAACCAAUGCCCUUCGGGGCUGCUUGGUGAUUCAUAAUAACCUCUCGAAUCGCACGGCCUUGCGCCGGCGAUGGUUCAUUCAAAUUUCUUCCCUAUCAACUUUCGAUGCGAAGGUAUUGUCUUCGCAUGGUUACAACGGGUAACGGAGGGUUAGGGCUCGACCCCGGAGAAGGAGCCUGAGAAACGGCUACUACAUCCAAGGAAGGCAGCAGGCGCGCAAAUUACCCAAUCCCGACACGGGGAGGUAGUGACAAUAAAUACUGAUACAGGGCUCUUUUGGGUCUUGUAAUUGGAAUGAGUACAAUUUAAAUCCCUUAACGAGGAACAAUUGGAGGGCAAGUCUGGUGCCAGCAGCCGCGGUAAUUCCAGCUCCAAUAGCGUAUAUUAAAGUUGUUGUGGUUAAAAAGCUCGUAGUUGAACCUUGGGCCUGGCUGGCCGGUCCCCCUCACCGGGUGCACUGGUCCGGCCGGGCCUUUCCCUCUGUGGAACCGCAUGCCCUUCACUGGGUGUGCCGGGGAAACAGGACUUUUACUUUGAAAAAAUUAGAGUGCUCCAGGCAGGCCUAUGCUCGAAUACAUUAGCAUGGAAUAAUAGAAUAGGACGUGUGGUUCUAUUUUGUUGGUUUCUAGGACCGCCGUAAUGAUUAAUAGGGACAGUCGGGGGCAUCAGUAUUCAAUUGUCAGAGGUGAAAUUCUUGGAUCUAUUGAAGACUAACUACUGCGAAAGCAUUUGCCAAGGAUGUUUUCAUUGAUAAGGAACGAAAGUUAGGGGAUCGAAGACGAUCAGAUACCGUCGUAGUCUUAACUAUAAACUAUGCCGACUAGGGAUCGGACGGUGUUUAUACUUGACCCGUUCGGCACCUUUCGAGAAAUCAAAGUGCUUGGGCUCCAGGGGGAGUAUGGUCGCAAGGCUGAAACUUAAAGAAAUUGACGGAAGGGCACCACCAGGGGUGGAGCCUGCGGCUUAAUUUGACUCAACACGGGGAAACUCACCAGGUCCAGACACAAUGAGGAUUGACAGAUUGAGAGCUCUUUCUUGAUUUUGUGGGUGGUGGUGCAUGGCCGUUCUUAGUUGGUGGAGUGAUUUGUCAGCUUAAUUGCGAUAACGAACG
rnacentral:rRNA from 1 species